UAAAAUUCACAUUUCAAAGGUGUGUGGUUUU
rnacentral:piRNA from 2 species